rnacentral:rRNA from 1 species
ACGAACGCUGGCGGCGUGCUUAACACAUGCAAGUCGAACGGAAAGGCCCUGCUUGCAGGGUACUCGAGUGGCGAACGGGUGAGUAACACGUGGGUGAUCUGCCCUGCACUUCGGGAUAAGCCUGGGAAACUGGGUCUAAUACCGGAUAGGAGCCAUUUUUAGUGUGAUGGUUGGAAAGUUUUUUCGGUGUAGGAUGAGCUCGCGGCCUAUCAGCUUGUUGGUGGGGUAAUGGCCUACCAAGGCGGCGACGGGUAGCCGGCCUGAGAGGGUGGACGGCCACAUUGGGACUGAGAUACGGCCCAGACUCCUACGGGAGGCAGCAGUGGGGAAUAUUGCACAAUGGGCGCAAGCCUGAUGCAGCGACGCCGCGUGGGGGAUGACGGCCUUCGGGUUGUAAACUCCUUUCGCUAGGGACGAAGCUUUUUGUGACGGUACCUAGAUAAGAAGCGCCGGCUAACUACGUG